rnacentral:rRNA from 1 species
CCUACGGGUGGCAGCAGUAGGGAAUCUUGGGCAAUGGGCGAAAGCCUGACCCAGCCAUGCCGCGUGAAUGAUGAAGGUCUUAGGAUUGUAAAAUUCUUUCACCGGGGACGAUAAUGACGGUACCCGGAGAAGAAGCCCCGGCUAACUUCGUGCCAGCAGCCGCGGUAAUACGAAGGGGGCUAGCGUUGCUCGGAAUUACUGGGCGUAAAGGGCGCGUAGGCGGAUCGUUAAGUUAGAGGUGAAAGCCCAGGGCUCAACCUUGGAACUGCCUUUGAUACUGGCGAUCUGGAGUACGGGAGAGGUGUGUGGAACUCCGAGUGUAGAGGUGAAAUUCGUAGAUAUUCGGAAGAACACCAGUGGCGAAGGCGACACACUGGCCCGUUACUGACGCUGAGGCGCGAAAGCGUGGGGAGCAAACAGGAUUAGAUACCCUAGUAGUC